UACGGAGGGAGCUAGCGUUGUUCGGAAUUACUGGGCGUAAAGCGCACGUAGGCGGCUUUGUAAGUUAGAGGUGAAAGCCCGGGGCUCAACCCCCGGAAUUGCCUUUAAGACUGCAUCGCUUGAAUCCGGGAGAGGUGAGUGGAAUUCCGAGUGUAGAGGUGAAAUUCGUAGAUAUUCGGAAGAACACCAGUGGCGAAGGCGGCUCACUGGACCGGCAUUGACGCUGAGGUGCGAAAGCGUGGGGAGCAAACAGG
rnacentral:rRNA from 1 species